UCCUGACUGACCGAUAGUGAACCAGUACCGUGAGGGAAAGGCGAAAAGAACCCCGGCGAGGGGAGUGAAAAAGAACCUGAAACCGUGUACGUACAAGCAGUGGGAGCACGCUUAGGCGUGUGACUGCGUACCUUUUGUAUAAUGGGUCAGCGACUUAUAUUCUGUAGCAAGGUUAACCGAAUAGGGGAGCCGAAGGGAAACCGAGUCUUAACUGGGCGUUAAGUUGCAGGGUAUAGACCCGAAACCCGGUGAUCUAGCCAUGGGCAGGUUGAAGGUUGGGUAACACUAACUGGAGGACCGAACCGACUAAUGUUGAAAAAUUAGCGGAUGACUUGUGGCUGGGGGUGAAAGGCCAAUCAAACCGGGAGAUAGCUGGUUCUCCCCGAAAGCUAUUUAGGUAGCGCCUCGUGAAUUCAUCUCCGGGGGUAGAGCACUGUUUCGGCAAGGGGGUCAUCCCGACUUACCAACCCGAUGCAAACUGCGAAUACCGGAGAAUGUUAUCACGGGAGACACACGGCGGGUGCUAACGUCCGUCGUGAAGAGGGAAACAACCCAGACCGCCAGCUAAGGUCCCAAAGUCAUGGUUAAGUGGGAAACGAUGUGGGAAGGCCCAGACAGCCAGGAUGUUGGCUUAGAAGCAGCCAUCAUUUAAAGAAAGCGUAAUAGCUCACUGGUCGAGUCGGCCUGCGCGGAAGAUGUAACGGGGCUAAACCAUGCACCGAAGCUGCGGCAGCGACGCUUAUGCGUUGUUGGGUAGGGGAGCGUUCUGUAAGCCUGCGAAGGUGUGCUGUGAGGCAUGCUGGAGGUAUCAGAAGUGCGAAUGCUGACAUAAGUAACGAUAAAGCGGGUGAAAAGCCCGCUCGCCGGAAGACCAAGGGUUCCUGUCCAACGUUAAUCGGGGCAGGGUGAGUCGACCCCUAAGGCGAGGCCGAAAGGCGUAGUCGAUGGGAAACAGGUUAAUAUUCCUGUACUUGGUGUUACUGCGAAGGGGGGACGGAGAAGGCUAUGUUGGCCGGGCGACGGUUGUCCCGGUUUAAGCGUGUAGGCUGGUUUUCCAGGCAAAUCCGGAAAAUCAAGGCUGAGGCGUGAUGACGAGGCACUACGGUGCUGAAGCAACAAAUGCCCUGCUUCCAGGAAAAGCCUCUAAGCAUCAGGUAACAUCAAAUCGUACCCCAAACCGACACAGGUGGUCAGGUAGAGAAUACCAAGGCGCUUGAGAGAACUCGGGUGAAGGAACUAGGCAAAAUGGUGCCGUAACUUCGGGAGAAGGCACGCUGAUAUGUAGGUGAAGUCCCUUGCGGAUGGAGCUGAAAUCAGUCGAAGAUACCAGCUGGCUGCAACUGUUUAUUAAAAACACAGCACUGUGCAAACACGAAAGUGGACGUAUACGGUGUGACGCCUGCCCGGUGCCGGAAGGUUAAUUGAUGGGGUCAGCGCAAGCGAAGCUCUUGAUCGAAGCCCCGGUAAACGGCGGCCGUAACUAUAACGGUCCUAAGGUAGCGAAAUUCCUUGUCGGGUAAGUUCCGACCUGCACGAAUGGCGUAAUGAUGGCCAGGCUGUCUCCACCCGAGACUCAGUGAAAUUGAACUCGCUGUGAAGAUGCAGUGUACCCGCGGCAAGACGGAAAGACCCCGUGAACCUUUACUAUAGCUUGACACUGAACAUUGAGCCUUGAUGUGUAGGAUAGGUGGGAGGCUUUGAAGUGUGGACGCCAGUCUGCAUGGAGCCGGCCUUGAAAUACCACCCUUUAAUGUUUGAUGUUCUAACGUGGACCCGUGAUCCGGGUUGCGGACAGUGUCUGGUGGGUAGUUUGACUGGGGCGGUCUCCUCCUAAAGAGUAACGGAGGAGCACGAAGGUUGGCUAAUCCUGGUCGGACAUCAGGAGGUUAGUGCAAUGGCAUAAGCCAGCUUGACUGCGAGCGUGACGGCGCGAGCAGGUGCGAAAGCAGGUCAUAGUGAUCCGGUGGUUCUGAAUGGAAGGGCCAUCGCUCAACGGAUAAAAGGUACUCCGGGGAUAACAGGCUGAUACCGCCCAAGAGUUCAUAUCGACGGCGGUGUUUGGCACCUCGAUGUCGGCUCAUCACAUCCUGGGGCUGAAGUAGGUCCCAAGGGUAUGGCUGUUCGCCAUUUAAAGUGGUACGCGAGCUGGGUUUAGAACGUCGUGAGACAGUUCGGUCCCUAUCUGCCGUGGGCGCUGGAGAACUGAGGGGGGCUGCUCCUAGUACGAGAGGACCGGAGUGGACGCAUCACUGGUGUUCGGGUUGUCAUGCCAAUGGCACUGCCCGGUAGCUAAAUGCGGAAGAGAUAAGUGCUGAAAGCAUCUAAGCACGAAACUUGCCCCGAGAUGAGUUCUCCCUGACCCUUUAAGGGUCCUGAAGGAACGUUGAAGACGACGACGUUGAUAGGCCGGGUGUGUAAGCGCAGCGAUGCGUUGAGCUAACCGGUACUAAUGAACCGUGAG
rnacentral:rRNA from 2 species